rnacentral:rRNA from 1 species
UACGGGGGGGGGCAAGCGUUGUUCGGAUUUACUGGGCGUAAAGGGCGCGUAGGCGGUCAGCACAAGUCAGUUGUGAAAUCUCCGGGCUUAACUCGGAAAGGUCAACUGAUACUGUGCGACUAGAGUGCAGAAGGGGCAACUGGAAUUCUCGGUUGUAGCGGUGAAAUGCGUAGAUAUCGAGAGGAACACCUGCGGCGAAGGCGGGUUGCUGGGCUGACACUGACGCUGAUGCGCGAAAGCCAGGGGAGCGAACGGG